GACGAACGCUGGCGGCGUGCCUAAUACAUGCAAGUUGAGCGCUGAAGGUUGGUACUUGUACCAACUGGAUGAGCAGCGAACGGGUGAGUAACGCGUGGGGAAUCUGCCUUUGAGCGGGGGACAACAUUUGGAAACGAAUGCUAAUACCGCAUAAAAACUUUAAACACAAGUUUUAAGUUUGAAAGAUGCAAUUGCAUCACUCAAAGAUGAUCCCGCGUUGUAUUAGCUAGUUGGUGAGGUAAAGGCUCACCAAGGCGAUGAUACAUAGCCGACCUGAGAGGGUGAUCGGCCACAUUGGGACUGAGACACGGCCCAAACUCCUACGGGAGGCAGCAGUAGGGAAUCUUCGGCAAUGGACGAAAGUCUGACCGAGCAACGCCGCGUGAGUGAAGAAGGUUUUCGGAUCGUCAAACUCUGUUGGUAGAGAAGAACGUUGGUGAGAGUGGAAAGCUCAUCAAGUGACGGUAACUACCCAGAAAGGGACGGCUAACUACGUG
rnacentral:rRNA from 1 species